UUACUAUGUCUGGAGGUAAAUUCUUCAAGUUAUUAUGUGAUACGUUAAAUUCUGUAAGUCUAACUAGAAACCCUAUGCCCGACGAACAUGCUCCAGUUCCAUCAGAUCGAGGCGCAGUUAAGUGAGAUGCAUCCCCCGACAGUCCAUAACCUAGAAAAUAUAAAUUUAAUUUAUAGAUAGUUAUUUUGAAAUGUUAGUUACCUAAAACUUCAGCAUAAAUGUAAGCAUUUCUGUUUAAA